UACAGAGGGGGCAAGCGUUGUUCGGAAUUACUGGGCGUAAAGGGCGCGUAGGCGGCCCGCUAAGUCGAACGUGAAAUCCCCGAGCUCAACUCGGGAACUGCGUCCGAUACUGGUGGGCUUGAAUCCGGGAGAGGGAUGCGGAAUUCCAGGUGUAGCGGUGAAAUGCGUAGAUAUCUGGAGGAACACCGGUGGCGAAGGCGGCUUCCUGGACCGACACUGACGCUGAGGCGCGAAAGCUAGGGGAGCAAACGGG
rnacentral:rRNA from 1 species